UCCCCGGCAGUCCAGCAGUUAGGACUCUGUGUUUCCAAUGCAGGGGGCGCAGGGUCGAUUCCUGGUUGGGGAG
rnacentral:tRNA from 1 species